UGUGUGUGUAUGUGUGUGUGUGUGUGUGUGUGUGUAUAUAUAUAUAUAAAUAUAUAUAUAUAUAUAUGCGUACACACACACACACACACACAUACACUCACAGA